AACGGAGGAAAAGAAACCAACAGGGAUUGCCCUAGUAACGGCGAGUGAAGCGGCAACAGCUCAAAUUUGAAAUCUGGCUUCGGCCCGAGUUGUAAUUUGCAGAGGAAGCUUUAGGCGCGGCACCUUCUGAGUCCCCUGGAACGGGGCGCCAUAGAGGGUGAGAGCCCCGUAUAGUUGGAUGCCUAGCCUGUGUAAAGCUCCUUCGACGAGUCGAGUAGUUUGGGAAUGCUGCUCAAAAUGGGAGGUAAAUUUCUUCUAAAGCUAAAUACCGGCCAGAGACCGAUAGCGCACAAGUAGAGUGAUCGAAAGAUGAAAAGCACUUUGAAAAGAGGGUUAAACAGCACGUGAAAUUGUUGAAAGGGAAGCGCUUGUGACCAGACUUGCGCCGGGCUGAUCAUCCGGUGUUCUCACCGGUGCACUCGGCCCGGCACAGGCCAGCAUCGGUUCUCGCGGGGGGAUAAAGGUCCCGGGAACGUAGCUCCUCCGGGAGUGUUAUAGCCCGGGGCGUAAUGCCCUCGCGGGGACCGAGGUUCGCGCAUCUGCAAGGAUGCUGCGAAGACGUGAGGU
rnacentral:rRNA from 1 species